AAAAUACCAUUAAUUUUCAUGAACCCCUAAUCUAUAAUGAAUGACUCCAUAUUUAUAUGGAAGACACCAUGCUAGGAUUAGUAACAAGAAUUUAUAAUUCUCCAAAAUGCAAAUAUAAACCAACAUGGAUGGACCAUUGGUAGUUACCGAACCUAAAUUCAAUGCAACAACACCUACAAGAAAACUCUGCAGUACUUACUCGUUAACCUAACACCAGCGCAUUACAGGAAAGAUUUAAAAAAAGAGAAGGAAUUCGGCAAAUGACGGCCCCGCCUGUUUACCAAAAACAUCGCCUCUUGACUUAUAAUAAGAGGUCCAGCCUGCCCAGUGAAUUUUAAACGGCCGCGGUAUCCUAACCGCGCGAAGGUAGCAUAAUCACUUGUUCUUUAAAUGGGGACUCGUAUCAACGGCAUCACGAGGGUUUUACUGUCUCCUCUUUUUGAUCAGUGAAAUUGAUCUUCCCGUGAAGAAGCGGGAAUAAAUUUAUAAGACGAGAAGACCCCAUGGAGCUUUAAACCAAAUAACAACUUAACCACUUAUCCCAUAAUAAAUUUAAGCCCUGUUAUAAGGUUUUUGGUUGGGGUGACCGCGGAGUAAAACACAUCCUCCACGACGAAAAAAACAGAAUUUUUAUUUAAGAACCACACUUCUAGAAAUUAGUAUACUAACGUUUACUGACCCGACAAUCGAUCAACGGACCAAGUUACCCUGGGGAUAACAGCGCAAUCUACUUCAAGAGCUCAUAUCGACAAGUAGGCUUACGACCUCGAUGUUGGAUCAGGGUAUCCCGGUGGUGCAGCCGCUACCGAAGGUUCGUUUGUUCAACGAUUAAAACCCUACGUGAUCUGAU
rnacentral:rRNA from 1 species